AUUGAACGCUGGCGGCGUGCUUAACACAUGCAAGUCGAUCGGUAACGCGGGGGCAACCCUGGCGACGAGAGGCGGACGGGUGAGGAACGCUUGGGAAUCUGCCCUUCAGCGGGGGACAACACGGGGAAACUCGUGCUAAUACCGCAUACGCUCCACGGAGGAAAGCCGGGGACCGCAAGGCCUGGCACUGAAGGAUGAGCCCAAGUCGGAUUAGCUAGUUGGCGGGGUAACUGCCCACCAAGGCGACGAUCCGUAGCUGGUCUGAGAGGACGAUCAGCCACGCUGGGACUGAGACACGGCCCAGACUCCUACGGGAGGCAGCAGUGGUGAAUAUUCGACAAUGGGGGAAACCCUGAUCCAGCGACGCCGCGUGGGUGAAGAAGGCCUGCUGGUUGUAAAGCCCUUUCGGUAGGGACGAAAGCUCUCGACCUAACACGUCGGGAGGUUGACUUAACCUACAAAAGAAGCACCGGCUAACUCUGUGCCAGCCGCCGCAGUAACAC
rnacentral:rRNA from 1 species